rnacentral:lncRNA from 1 species
AUGGGGAGCUGGGAUUUGGGCCCCAGUCCGCACCCUGGGCCUCUGAGUUCAAGCUGGGGGGGAGCCCCCACUUUCCCUUCCCUUCUGCUUCCCGUUCUCCCUCACUGCUGGGAGAAGGAGAGCACCCCGGGGCAGCACAGCAAGAGUCAGUUGGCAGGAGCCGGGCCAGGAGCUGGGCAGCCGGUCCUGCCAGGGCUACCCCCACGGAGGGCCUGGUGGCCCCUUGGGCCUCACACCGAUGUGGGCACUGGGGUGCAGGGCGCGGGUGGCUGGGCAGGGCUGGCUCGGACAGAGGCACAAGCCCCUUCUCCUCCAGCCUCAGGCUCCUCCAGCCUCGGGACUCCCUCUUCAGCCCACACUGCGGCCUCCAGGCUCACCCCACUGGGAAACAAAAGCUGCCGAUGCUGUGCCUGGGGCGCGGAGAAACCACGGCGGCUCCCUCCUGGGGUGAGUGUGGAGGGGGGCCGCAGCCCCAACCCGCCCCAUCCUCUGUCCUCGUCCUCGGCUCCAUGUGUCACCUCAUCACAGGUGUCCUCGAGCUCCAAGAGGGGAAGGUCACACUGUGCAGGGUACAGGAAGCUGCAAGUGUCCCGCUCCAACGGGGCUGAUGAGGGCCCCGGCCUUGCAGGGCUGUGGCGCCACACCUCUGGCCUCCAGCGUCUGCCCCGGCUGCUCUCCCCGGCCUCCCGGCUCCUCUGCCUGGCGCCUUCCAGGUCCAUGUUUGUCCCCACAGCGCCUCCAUGGCAUUCCCUGUGGUGUGGCCUGGGGGUCACCUGCCCCCCUCCUGCCUCACCAGACUGUAAGCAUCUCGGCGUUGUGGGGUCUCGCUGCCCUCUCUGCCCCGCUGCUUUGCAGUCCCUGCCCUGCGGAGAGGGAACCCAAAGCAGCAGCUGGCAGGGUUUCAGGGAGGUGACAAGGGUGGGGAUCACCUUCCAGCUUUUUAACCCAAGAGGAGAAGACUCAGAGGAAUGUCAGUGUGGUCUCCCAACAGCUGAUGGGCCUUCCAGGGCAGCAGUGACACUGGGCCUACGGGCCCAGGUAGGAAGAGUGUUAGGAGGCAGCUGCUGCUCAGAGUGGGAAGAGGGGUCCAACAUGCAGAGGCCAGUGGCACAGUGUUGA